AGAGUUUGAUUCUGGCUCAGAACGAACGCUGGCAGCGUGGAUUAGGCAUGCAAGUCGAACGAGAAUCUACGAGUUCAAGUUUUCGGACAAGAACUUGUGGAGGAGAGUGGCGGAAGGGUGAGUAACGCGUGGGCAAUUUGCCCUCAAGUUGGGGACAACCCCGGGAAACCGGAGCUAAUACCGAAUGUGGUCAACCAACGCAUGUUGGUAAGAUUGAAGGUGGGGAUCCUUCGGGACCUGCCGCUUGAGGAGGAGCCCGCGUACGAUCAGCUUGUUGGUGGGGUAACGGCCUACCAAGGCUACGACCGUUAGCUGGUCUGAGAGGAUGGUCAGCCACACUGGGACUGAGACACUGCCCAGACUCCUACGGGAGGCUGCAGUCGAGGAUCAUUCGCAAUGCGCGAAAGCGUGACGAUGCGACGCUGCGUGGAGGAUGACGGCUCUAGGGUUGUAAACUCCUGUCAUGAGGGAAAAACGGGCAGGCCGUUAAUAACGGCUUGUUGUGAUGGUACCUCAAGAGGAAGCCACGGCUAACUCUGUGCCAGCAGCCGCGGUAAUACAGAGGUGGCGAGCGUUGUUCGGAUUUACUGGGCUUAAAGCGUACGUAGGCGGCAUUGUGUGUCGGGUGUGAAAUCCCACGGCUUACCCGUGGAACUGCAUCCGAAACUGCAAAGCUUGAGUACAGGAGGGGAGAGCGGAAUUCUUAGUGUAGCGGUGAAAUGCGUUGAUAUUAAGAAGAACACCGGUGGCGAAGGCGGCUCUCUGGAAUGUUACUGACGCUGAGGUACGAAAGUUGGGGGAGCAAACAGGAUUAGAUACCCUGGUAGUCCCAACCGUAAACGGUGUGAACUUGGUGUAGGGGGUAUUGACCCCCCCUGUGCCGGAGCUAACGCGUUAAGUUCACCGCCUGGGGAGUACGGCCGCAAGGUUAAAACUCAAAGAAAUUGACGGGGGCCCGCACAAGCGGAGGAGCAUGUGGCUUAAUUCGAUGCAACGCGAAGAACCUUACCUGGGCUUGACAUGGGGACCCUUCGGGGGUGGUAGCGAAAGUUACCUUUACCAUCACAGGUGCUGCAUGGCUGUCGUCAGUUCGUGCCGUGAGGUGUUGGGUUAAGUCCCGCAACGAACGCAACCCCUGUGGCUAGUUGCCAUCGUUGGUGAUGAGCCGACAGGCACUCUAGUCAGACUGCCCGUGCAAGCGGGAGGAAGGUGGGGAUGACGUCAAGUCAGUAUGGCCCUUACGCCCAGGGCUGCACACGUGCUACAAUGGCCAGUACAAUGGGAUGCAAUACCGCGAGGUUGAGCAAAUCCCCAAAGCUGGCCCCAGUUCGGAUUGGAGUCUGCAACUCGACUCCAUGAAGUUGGAUUCGCUAGUAACGGCGUAUCAGCUACGACGCCGUGAAUACGUUCCCGGGCCUUGUACACACCGCCCGUCACAUCAUGAAAGCCGUCUGCACCCGAAGUCGCUGAGCUAACCCGCAAGGGAGGCAAGUGCCGAAGGUGUGGGUGGUGAUUGGGAUGAAGUCGUAACAAGGUA
rnacentral:rRNA from 1 species